UGUUGGCUUAGAAGCAGCCAUCAUUUAAAGAAAGCGUAAUAGCUCACUGGUCGAGUCGGCCUGCGCGGAAGAUGUAACGGGGCUAAACCAUGCACCGAAGCUGCGGCAGCGAACGUAUCACUUAAAGCGAUUCAGCGGGUUACGAUUGACGGAGCGAAGCGACGUCAAAGCGUAUACAAAGUCGAGUCGGUUUAAGGAUACGUUCGUUGGGUAGGGGAGCGUUCUGUAAGCCUGCGAAGGUGGCCUGUGAGGGUUGCUGGAGGUAUCAGAAGUGCGAAUGCUGACAUAAGUAACGAUAAAGCGGGUGAAAAGCCCGCUCGCCGGAAGACCAAGGGUUCCUGUCCAACGUUAAUCGGGGCAGGGUGAGUCGACCCCUAAGGCGAGGCCGAAAGGCGUAGUCGAUGGGAAACGGGUUAAUAUUCCCGUACUUGGUGUUACUGCGAAGGGGGGACGGAGAAGGCUAUGUUGGCCGGGCGACGGUUGUCCCGGUUUAAGCGUGUAGGCUGGUUUUCCAGGCAAAUCCGGAAAAUCAAGGCUGAGGCGUGACGACGAGGCACUACGGUGCUGAAGCAACAAAUGCCCUGCUUCCAGGAAAAGCCUCUAAGCAUCAGGUAACACGAAAUCGUACCCCAAACCGACACAGGUGGUCAGGUAGAGAAUACCAAGGCGCUUGAGAGAACUCGGGUGAAGGAACUAGGCAAAAUGGUGCCGUAACUUCGGGAGAAGGCACGCUGACACGUAGGUGAAGUGAUUUACUCAUGGAGCUGAAGUCAGUCGAAGAUACCAGCUGGCUGCAACUGUUUAUUAAAAACACAGCACUGUGCAAACACGAAAGUGGACGUAUACGGUGUGACGCCUGCCCGGUGCCGGAAGGUUAAUUGAUGGGGUCAGCGCAAGCGAAGCUCCUGAUCGAAGCCCCGGUAAACGGCGGCCGUAACUAUAACGGUCCUAAGGUAGCGAAAUUCCUUGUCGGGUAAGUUCCGACCUGCACGAAUGGCGUAAUGAUGGCCAGGCUGUCUCCACCCGAGACUCAGUGAAAUUGAACUCGCUGUGAAGAUGCAGUGUACCCGCGGCAAGACGGAAAGACCCCGUGAACCUUUACUAUAGCUUGACACUGAACAUUGAGCCUUGAUGUGUAGGAUAGGUGGGAGGCUUUGAAGCGUGGACGCCAGUCUGCGUGGAGCCGACCUUGAAAUACCACCCUUUAAUGUUUGAUGUUCUAACGUGGACCCGUUA
rnacentral:rRNA from 1 species